GAUGAACGCUAGCUACAUGCCUAACACAUGCAAGUCGAGCGGCAGCAUGAACUUAUUUUGCCUAGUAUGAUAGCGACCGGCGCAUGGGUGAGUAAUACGUAACCAACCUGUCGGUCACUCAUGGCUAGCCUUACGAAAGAAUGAUUACUACUAGUAGUCCUAGCUCUUCCGUUCGGUAGAACUAUUAAAGAUUUUCGUCCAUCGUAGGGGAUGCGUUCCAUUAGGUUGUUGGUGGGGUAACGGCCCACCAAGCCUUCGAUGGAUAGGGGUUCUGAGAGGAAGGUACCCGACAUUGGAACUGAGACACGGUCCAAACUCCUACGGGAGGCAGCAGUGAGGAAUAUUGAUCAAUGGACGAGAGUCUGAACCAGCCAAGUAGCGUGAAGGAUGACUGCCCUAUGGGUUGUAAACUUCUUUUAUACGGGAAUAAAGUGAGGCACGUGUGCCUUUUUGUAUGUACCGUAUGAAUAAGGAACGGCUAACUCCGUG
rnacentral:rRNA from 1 species